GAAUUUUGGACAAUGGGGGAAACCCUGAUCCAGCCAUUCCGCGUGAGUGAAGAAGGCCUUCGGGUUGUAAAGCUCUUUCGGCAGGGAAGAAACGGUCUAGGUUAAUACCUUGGGCUAAUGACGGUACCCGAAGAAGAAGCACCGGCUAACUACGUGCCAGCAGCCGCGGUAAUACGUAGGGUGCGAGCGUUAAUCGGAAUUACUGGGCGUAAAGCGUGCGCAGGCGGUUUUGUAAGACAGGUGUGAAAUCCCCGGGCUUAACCUGGGAACUGCGCUUGUGACUGCAAGACUCGAGUACGGCAGAGGGGGGUAGAAUUCCACGUGUAGCAGUGAAAUGCGUAGAGAUGUGGAGGAAUACCGAUGGCGAAGGCAGCCCCCUGGGUCGAUACUGACGCUCAUGCACGAAAGCGUGGGGAGCAAAC
rnacentral:rRNA from 1 species